rnacentral:rRNA from 1 species
GAUGAACGCUAGCGGCAGGCUUAAUACAUGCAAGUCGAGGGGCAGCAGCUUUAUAGCAAUAUAGAGGCUGGCGACCGGCAAACGGGUGCGGAACACGUACACAACCUUCCUAUAAGAGGGGGAUAGCCCAUAGAAAUGUGGAUUAAUACCCCGUAACAUAUCGGUGUGGCAUCACACUGUUAUUAUAGUUUCGACGCUUGAAGAUGGGUGUGCGGCUGAUUAGGUAGUUGGCGGGGUAAAGGCCCACCAAGCCUUCGAUCAGUAGCUGAUGUGAGAGCAUGAUCAGCCACACGGGCACUGAGACACGGGCCCGACUCCUACGGGAGGCAGCAGUAAGGAAUAUUGGUCAAUGGACGCAAGUCUAAACCAGCCAUGCCGCGUGAAGGAUGAAGGUCCUCUGGAUUGUAAACUUCUUUUAUAGGGGGCGAAAAAAGGGAAUUCUUUCUCACUUGACAGUACCCUAUGAAUAAGCACCGGCUAACUCCGUGCCAGCCGCCGCGGUAA